AUUGAACGCUGGCGGCAUGCCUUACACAUGCAAGUCGAACGGCAGCACGGGGGCAACCCUGGUGGCGAGUGGCGAACGGGUGAGUAAUACAUCGGAACGUGCCCGGUAGUGGGGGAUAGCUCGGCGAAAGCCGGAUUAAUACCGCAUACGACCUGCGGGUGAAAGCGGGGGAUCGCAAGACCUCGCGCUAUCGGAGCGGCCGAUGUCAGAUUAGGUUGUUGGUGGGGUAAAGGCCACCAAGCCGACGAUCUGUAGCUGGUCUGAGAGGACGACCAGCCACACUGGGACUGAGACACGGCCCAGACUCCUACGGGAGGCAGCAGUGGGGAAUUUUGGACAAUGGGCGCAAGCCUGAUCCAGCCAUGCCGCGUGCGGGAAGAAGGCCG
rnacentral:rRNA from 1 species